GAAAUUCGAAAAGUAAUGUGAAUUGCAGAAUUCAGUGAAUCAUCGAAUCUUUGAACGCACCUUGCGCUCCUUGGUAUUCCGAGGAGCAUGCCUGUUUGAGUGUCAUGGAAUUCUCAACUCUAUUUGCUUUUGUGAAUAGAGCUUGGAUUUGGAGGUUUAUUGCUGGUACUUGUGAUCGGCUCCUCUUGAAUGCAUUAGCUCGAACCUUUGCGGAUCAGCUAUCGGUGUGAUAAUUGUCUACGCCGUUGCAGUGAAGCAUAUCAAUGGGCUCGGCUUCCAAUCGUCCUUUACUGGACAAUGACUUUGACCUUUGACCUCAAAUCAGGUAGGAUUACCCGCUGAACUUAAGC
rnacentral:misc_RNA from 1 species